UACGAAGGGGGCUAGCGUUGCUCGGAAUUACUGGGCGUAAAGCGCACGUAGGCGGUUUCUUAAGUCGGGGGUGAAAUCCUGGAGCUCAACUCCAGAACUGCCUUCGAUACUGGCGACCUUGAGGCUGGAAGAGGUUAGUGGAAUUCCCAGUGUAGAGGUGAAAUUCGUAGAUAUUGGGAAGAACACCAGUGGCGAAGGCGGCUAACUGGUCCAGAUCUGACGCUGAGGUGCGAAAGCGUGGGGAGCAAACAGG
rnacentral:rRNA from 1 species